GCGAUACACUAAACACCAAGCUUUACUAGUCAACACCAAGAAACAAUCAUACAGAUUGUUAAGUCCACUUUUACACGAAGGUGACAACAUGGCAAAAGAAUGUUUAAGGCUUCCAUAGCUUCAUGGUGCAGUCUUCUCCAUAUGUGGCAACAAGGUUUAUAUGGGGAUGGUGAGUGAUACCAAUUACAUCCUUUUCAUGUACCUUCAUCAGAUGCUCCAGUUUGUUUGAUUGAUAACUAAAGCAGUACAAGUUUCUGUCUUCACCUACACAGUAUAUCCAUUCUCCUUUUGGUGAUAGACAAGCAGCCACAAAGUCUCCACCUUCUCUUUUACCA
rnacentral:misc_RNA from 1 species